rnacentral:rRNA from 1 species
UACAGAGGGGGCAAGCGUUGUUCGGAAUUACUGGGCGUAAAGGGCGCGCGAUGGUGCCUUCUAAGUUGAACGUGAAAUCCCUGGGCUCAACCCAGGAACUGCGUCCAAGACUGGGAGGCUUGAAUCCGGGAGAGGGAUGCGGAAUUCCAGGUGUAGCGGUGAAAUGCGUAGAUAUCUGGAGGAACACCGGUGGCGAAGGCGGCAUCCUGGACCGGUAUUGACACUGAGGCGCGAAAGCCAGGGGAGCAAACGGG